rnacentral:rRNA from 1 species
AGAGUUUGAUCCUGGCUCAGAAUGAACGUUGGCGGCGUGGAUUAGGCAUGCAAGUCGAGCGAGAAGCUCCUUUACGAUUUCUUCGGAAUGAAUAGUUGAGCGGACAGCGGCGCAAGGGAGAGUAACGCGUGGAAGUUUACCCUGAGGAGAGGGACAGCUGCGGGAAACUGCAGGUAAUACCUCAUAAUGUCUCCGGACCAAAUGAAUUUCGCCUCAGGAGAACUCCGCGUCCUACUAGCUUGUUGGUGGUGUAACGGACUACCAAGGCUAUGAUGGGUAGCGGGUGUGAGAGCAUGACCCGUCUCACUGGGACUGAGACACUGCCCAGACACCUACGGGUGGCUGCAGUCGAGAAUCUUCGGCAAUGGGCGAAAGCCUGGUCGAGCGACGCCGCGUGCGGGAUGAAGGCCUUCGGGUUGUAAACCGCUGUCAGAGGGGAGGAAAGCUUCGGCUUGACUGAACCUCAGAGGAAGCACGGGCUAAGUUCGUGCCAGCAGCCGCGGUAACACGAACCGUGCGAACGUUAUUCGGAAUCACUGGGCUUAAAGGGUGCGUAGGCGGCUUUGCAAGUGAGGUGUGAAAUCCCUCAGCU